GCAUAUCAAUAAGCGGAGGAAAAGAAACUAACAAGGAUUCCCCUAGUAAUGGCGAAUGAAGGGGGAAAAGCUCAAAUUUUAAAUCUACCUGGUUCCCAGGUCGAGUUGUAAUUUGAAGAAACGAUAUCGGUGUGGAGGUCUGGUUCAAGUUCUUUGGAACAAGACAUCAUGGAGGGUGAGAAUCCCGUGCAUGAUCAGACCAAGAUACUUAAUAUUCGCUUUCUAAGAGUCGAGUUGUUUGGGAAUGCAGCUCAAAUUGGGUGGUAGACUUCACCUAAGGCUAAAUAUCAGCGAGAGACCGAUAGCGAACAAGUACUGUGAAGGAAAGAUGAAAAGAACUUUGAAAAGAGAGUUAAAUAGUACGUGAAAUUGUUGAAAGGGAAACGAUUGAAGUCAGUCAUGCUAGUGAAAAUUCAGUUUGGUGGGUUUUGGGUUCAGGAGUUGAGGCAGGGUCAAACCGUUUCUCUUUUGAACUUGGAAUUUGUCAGAUGCACUUUUUCUUUGGCAGGUCAGCGUCGAUUUCGGAGGUUGUAAAAUACUUGGGGAAAAGUAGCUCUGCUUCGGGAGAGUGUUAUAGACCUUGGGUGAUGCAGCCUGUGGGAUCGAGGAUUGCAGCAAAUGCCUUUGGCAUGUCGCCUGAUCUCUGGACAGUCAUCUCGCAUGUAUCAACAUUCUUGGUGCCGGUGAGUAAUGGUGCUCAUAGGUUAGAGCGAUCAAAAAUUUGCUAAGGAUGCUGACGUAAUGGCUUUAAACGAC
rnacentral:rRNA from 1 species